UUGUUUUUUUUGUGUGUUUUUUUCUCAGGUUGGAGUGGUUGAUCUGUUCCUUUACAUGAUAAUGUAUACUCAGAUGCAUCUUGUAAUGUGCAAUUGCAAGUUUCCAAAUACAUGCAAAGUAAAAUUGUUGGCGACAUGGCACAUGUAUUAAAGUCUUCUGUCACAGUUGACUCAGCAAGAAUGAAGACAUUGAU
rnacentral:misc_RNA from 1 species